rnacentral:rRNA from 1 species
GACGAACGCUGGCGGCGUGCUUAACACAUGCAAGUCGAACGGAAAGGCCCUGCUUUUGUGGGGUGCUCGAGUGGCGAACGGGUGAGUAACACGUGAGUAACCUGCCCUUGACUUUGGGAUAACUUCAGGAAACUGGGGCUAAUACCGGAUAGGAGCUCCUGCUGCAUGGUGGGGGUUGGAAAGUUUCGGCGGUUGGGGAUGGACUCGCGGCUUAUCAGCUUGUUGGUGGGGUAGUGGCUUACCAAGGCUUUGACGGGUAGCCGGCCUGAGAGGGUGACCGGCAACAAUGGGACUGAGAGACGGAGCAGAAGGCUACGGGAGGCAGCAGUGGGGAAUAGUGCACAAUGGGCGGAAGCCUGAUGCAGCAACGCCGCGUGCGGGAUGACGGCCUUCGGGUUGUAAACAGCGUUCGCCUGUGACGAAGCGUGAGUGACGGUAAUGGGUAAAGAAGCACCGGCUAACUACGUG